CCUGGUCAGCUGUCUGAAAUAAUAUAGUAUGUCAUAGUCCUGGAUGUGAUGGAAAGCUGCAUUUACAUGAUCCAUAGAGGAUCCAUCUGGAAACAGAACAUUUAUCCACACAUGGAAAGUAAGAAGGCUUUUGUAAGUUGCUGUUGGAAGAAAGAAUAUAUAAAAUUGUCAAGACCCCUGCCAGAAACUACACAAGGACAUUGGUAUUCAAAUAU
rnacentral:lncRNA from 1 species